rnacentral:rRNA from 1 species
GACGAACGCUGGCGGCGUGCUUAACACAUGCAAGUCGAACGGAAAGGCCCUGCUUUUGUGGGGUGCUCGAGUGGCGAACGGGUGAGUAACAAGUGAGUAACCUGCCCUUGACUUUGGGAUAACUUCAGGAAACUGGGGCUAAUACCUGAUAGGAGCUCCUGCUGCAUGGUGGGGGUUGGAAAGUUUCGGCGGUUGGGGAUGGACUCGGGGCUUAUCAGCUUGUUGGUGGGGUAGUGGCUUACCAAGGCUUUGACGGGUAGCCGGCCUGAGAGGGUGACCGGCCUCAUUGGGACUGAGAUACGGACCAGACGCCUACGGGAGGCAGCAGUGGGGAAUAUUGCACAAUGGGCGGAAGCGUGAUGCAGCAACGCCGCGAGCGGGAUGACUGCCUUCGGGUUGUAAACCGCAUUCGCCUGUGACGAAGCGUGAGUGACGGUAAUGGGUGAAGAAGCACCGGCUAACUACGUG